rnacentral:rRNA from 1 species
AUUGAACGCUGGCGGCAUGCCUUACACAUGCAAGUCGAACGGCAGCGCGGGAGCAAUCCUGGCGGCGAGUGGCGAACGGGUGAGUAAUAUAUCGGAACGUGCCCAAGAGUGGGGGAUAGCCCGGCGAAAGCCGGAUUAAUACCGCAUACGCCCUAAGGGGGAAAGUGGGGGACCGCAAGGCCUCACGCUCGUGGAGCGGCCGAUAUCUGAUUAGCUAGUUGGUGGGGUAAGGGCCUACCAAGGCGACGAUCAGUAGCUGGUCUGAGAGGACGACCAGCCACACUGGGACUGAGACACGGCCCAGACUCCUACGGGAGGCAGCAGUGGGGAAUUUUGGACAAUGGGGGCAACCCUGAUCCAGCAAUGCCGCGUGUGUGAAGAAGGCCUUCGGGUUGUAAAGCACUUUUGUCCGGAAAGAAAUCCCCUGGGAUAAUACCCCAGGGGGAUGACGGUACCGGAAGAAUAAGCACCGGCUAACUACGUGCCAGCCGCCGCGGUAAGAC